rnacentral:lncRNA from 1 species
GCUGUGGGCAGCGCGGGGAGGGCUGGCUCCGCACACGGACCGGCCCCUCUGGAGCCGGACGGGAGAAGUGUCUCUUCCUAGAGACCUUAGGAGGAAGAAAUUUCAUGAAGAUAAUUGGCUGCUGAAGUCUGAAGAAAUCAAUCAGUGCACACAUUUGUUUCAUUGUAAGACCAGGGCCCGACACCUUUCAGGCUAAAUGAACAUAUUUGGACAAGCCUGUAGAUGCCUGUAUCAGGUAGAUCUCAUUCAAAUAUGACAAGAAGUCAUCACCUCGGUCACACAGAAUGCCACCAGGCUCCAAGAGACUCACUUUGCUCCAGAAAUAAUCCAGACAAAAACAUAUACUCCGCUGCCCAAACUACAGUCCCUUAAAGCAACACAAGAA